GACCUCUUCGGUGGUCUAGUGGUAAGGAGCGUCUGCCUCGGAUGCGGAAGGUCGCGGGUUCGAACCCUAGCCGACUCA